rnacentral:rRNA from 1 species
CCUACGGGAGGCAGCAGUAGGGAAUCUUCCACAAUGGGCGAAAGCCUGAUGGAGCCACGCCGCGUGAGUGAAGAAGGUCUUCGGAUCGUAAAACCCUGUUGUUAGCGAAGAAAGCGCGUGAGAGUAACUGUUCACGUUUCGACGGUAUCUAACCAGAAAGCAACGGCUAACUACGUGCCAGCAGCCGCGGUAAUACGUAGGUUGCAAGCGUUAUCCGGAUUUAUUGGGCGUAAAGGGAACGCAGGCGGUCUUUUAAGUAUGAUGUGAAAGCCCUCGGCUUAACCGGGGUAGUGCAUUGGAUACUGGGAGACUUGAGUGCAGAAGAGGGGGGUAGAAGUCCAUGUGUAGCGGUGAAAUGCGUAGAGAUAUGGAAGAACACCAGAGGCGAAGGCGGCCCUCUGGUAUGGAACUGACGCUGAGGUGCGAAAGCGUGGGUAGCAAACAGGAUUAGAUACCCGAGUAGUC